rnacentral:rRNA from 1 species
GACGAACGCUGGCGGCGUGCCUAAUACAUGCAAGUGGGACGCAAGGAAACACACUGUGCUUGCACACCGUGUUUUCUUGAGUCGCGAACGGGUGAGUAACGCGUAGGUAACCUGCCUAUUAGCGGGGGAUAACUAUUGGAAACGAUAGCUAAUACCGCAUAAUAUUAAUUAUUGCAUGAUAAUUGAUUGAAAGAUGCAAGCGCAUCACUAGUAGAUGGACCUGCGUUGUAUUAGCUAGUUGGUAAGGUAAGAGCUUACCAAGGCGACGAUACAUAGCCGACCUGAGAGGGUGAUCGGCCACACUGGGACUGAGACACGGCCCAGACUCCUACGGGAGGCAGCAGUAGGGAAUCUUCGGCAAUGGACGAAAGUCUGACCGAGAAACGCCGCGUGAGUGAAGAAGGUUGUCGGAUCGUAAAGCUCUGUUGCAAGUCAAGAACGUGUGUGAGAGUGGAAAGUUCACACAGUGACGGUAGCUUACCAGAAAGGGACGGCUAACUACGUG